UGGGGAUCUAAUGAUGAAUGGGACAGUCAAAAAUCCAUCUAUCAUGGAGUUUAUAUUUCCAAGUAUUGUGAAGAGAGCUCAACUCAAGGAAUUCCUUUUGUCCCAAGAAAGACAACUUAGUGAUCAGCUAUUUUUAUUGCUUCCCUGCCCUACACCCAGCAGCCUAACACACAGCUCAGGUGGACUGGCCUACACCUAGCAAGGGAGAGAGAAGGAUGAGACCAAGAGACACCUCUCCAGCUGGAGCCCAGCAAAUCCACCAAACUGGUCCAGCUAUCAUCUGUUCUCAUUUAGGUCUUCUUCAAAACACAGGAUAGACGAAACAAGGCUUUUUUUUGUAUCUUUAAAAACAUCUUUACAGCUGCAAGUAGUUUCUUUCACCUUUCUUCUCCCCUCCAAGCUGCCUUUGGUGGUCGUUUUAGCCUGAGUUUACCUGCAUAAAAGCACCCCUGGGGAGGAGUACGAUUUGUCCUCAUCCUGUACCACUAGGAAUGGAUGGCCUUGCAUGUGGGGUCAGGGUGGCCUGUGUCCAAGGUGUUUUGCUUCUGCAAUAUUAAUGAAGUCAGCCUCCUCCAAGAAUGUCCUCAAAUCCCCUGAAGGUUCUUAGAUGUUGCAGUUUGCAUUUCGCUAUUUACAUUAGCAAAAACUGUUGUACAAACAGGCCUGUCAGUCAGGGCUCGCCUGGCUUCACUUCAGAGAAGGAAUCAGAAGUGUGAGUUAAAUGAGCCCAGCAGGCAUUUAACCUCUGGGUCUGGAAAAAUCCUGACUCAUGGAGUGAUCUGGGAGGUGGGAAGGCAGCCCCAUUUGGUGAAGAAGCUUAAAGCAUCCCAAACCAAGGCUAGAACAAAUGAUGAUGGUCACAGCUACCAUAGGAUAGUCACUCUGUGCCAGCCACUGUGCUGGUAAUCCUCAAAGCCAUUUGUUGUGUUAGAGAGGUUUUAUUCUUAGUUUACACCCAUGGAAACUGAGCUGCAGAGAAAUGAUCUUGACCAAGGUCCGAGCACGAUAAGUGGUGGUACAGGAGUGAAUGCUUGCCGUCUGUCUUCUGAUCUUGUGCUUUUAACCAUAAUCC
rnacentral:lncRNA from 1 species